rnacentral:rRNA from 1 species
GACGAACUGUUCUAACGUUAUUCGGAAUCACUGGGCUUAAAGGGCGCGUAGGCUGUUUGUUAAGCGGGGUCUGAAAUCCCUCGGCUCAACCGAGGAACUGGGCUUCGAACUGGCAGACUAGAGUGAAGUAGGGGUAAGCGGAACUUGCGGUGGAGCGGUGAAAUGCUUUGAUAUCGCAAGGAACACCGGCGGUGAAGGCGGCUUACUGGGCUUCAACUGACGCUUAAGCGCGAAAGCUAGGGUAGCGAACGGGAUUAGAUACCCGCGUAGUCCCUGAGCGGGCU